rnacentral:sRNA from 1 species
AUUCUGCCCAUGCGGGGAAGGAUGAGAAGCUUCGACUAAGGUUCGACUCGAGCGCCAGCGAGAGAGCGUUGCCGCAGGCAACGACCCGUAGGGCGAAGCGCGCAGCGCUGAGUAAUCCUUCCCC